GCGCACGUGGCGGAAUGGCAUACGCGAACGGCUCAAACCCGUUUGCCCGAUGAGGGCGUGGAGGUUCGACUCCUCUCGUGCGCA
rnacentral:tRNA from 1 species